UAAAAAGUAAUUAACCCAUGCCGGGAGGAAAAAAAUCAGGGUAGGGAGCGAAAAAGCUGACAAUACAUGUAUUAAAAAUUGUUUUAAGUACAUAUAGAGAGAGGGGAAAGAAGAGAAAUGGAGCACAGAUUCGACAGGUCCAGGGCUUCAGCAUUCAGGCCCAAAGGGCCGUGACCAGCACAACCCUACCCACUACCCAGAGCUCGCAGAGCACCGGGCAGAGAAAGAAGACGAAUUCCUCGGUUCCCUGGAGGAGGCGUCAGCGAGUCCUCUCCGGCGUCUUCUCUGCGUCCCUUCCCCGCGCCGAGCCAUUCCCGCCCCGUACUACUUCUCGCGAGGACGUUGUAGCGCCACCCUUGCCGUUGCCGCCGCAGCAGCUAGGGAUUCGGCGGUGAAAGGAAGCGUGGACAGUAAUGCAGCCGAGGAAGUCAGGAACAUUCUGGAUAUGGCAGAAAGGGCUUCCCAACGAAGAGAUGUUUUCCACACCAAUUUUCUUACUCCACCUAUAAUAAAGGUGGCUAUGAUGGCAAUUGAGAAGUAAGCAGAUAUAAAAGCAGUAGCUCAGGGUGGCUACCCACAGGCCGAGCGGUGCCGAAUUUUUGUUGGACACCCAGAUUCUAUGACAAGUAACACAGAUGUAGUUGCUGCUUUGAGGUUUUCUCAGUUUUACCUUAUAAGCUCUGCCAUCUGCUAUAUAAGCUGAUUUUGAGGCCAACCCAGCAUCUCAGGUAAUUUCCGAUUGGAACCCUGUUCGCAUGGUGACUUUCUUGGUGCUAUUCUCGGGACAGGAAUAACAAGGGAGAAAGUUGGAGAUAUUCUUUUGCAGGGGGAAAGAGGUGCUGAGGUCCUUGUUGAUCCAGAACUUGUUGACUAUCUGAUUUCCACUCUCGAAAAGGUGGGGAAAGUUGGUGUUUCAUGCACUCAAAUUCCUUUGCUUGCUCUAGAAUAUGAACCACCAAGGUUUGCUCAUGACCAAGUCAUUUAAAACUGUAGAAUCAUCGCUCAGGGUUGAUGCCCUGACCAGCGCUGGAUUUAAAAUCUCACGCACAAAGCUUGCUAGCUUGAUAAGUGCCGGGGAUGUUCGUGUGAAUUGGACACCAGCUUUGAAAAAUGGAGUUACCCUCAAAUCAGGAGACAUCGUUUCUGUCAGUGGGAUGGGAAGGUUAAAGUUAGUCCAGCUUCAAAUGAUGUGUUGUUAUUCCAACCGAGAUUCUUGUCAUGCAACAGGUAGUCCAGCAAUCGGUGCCUUUGAGCCCAUGCCGUGUUAGUGCAUGCAUGGGGUGGUGUAGAGUUUUUUGGGCAGCACUUUCGUGCAUUGCCCCCGAGGUCCCAACAUUCUUGCCAAAUACCACCUUCUUAGCAGCACAUGCAUGUGUUAUCGACUCGACAUCAUUAAGGGUCUUCGAGUGCUGGUCGCACGGUUGUACUGUUUUCCAGAUAGGCCUGUGAAGUUGAGGUUUCAGACACAGGGCACUUGAUCUAUGUGGUUGAACAAUGCCACGACUUCAAGAUGACAUGUUCAAAGAUACAAUGCCACGACUUCAAGAUGACAUGUUCAAAGAUCGUACAGUGCUGCUUUCAUGGUUUGCAUCAUGUUCCAGUCGAGCCACGUCCUUAGCAUGUGCCUUCACCUCCAUGUUCAAAUGGGCAACCGGUACAUCAAUCAUCAUGUCCUCAUGUUUGUGCUCAAGUGUGGUGGAAAAACUCCUCCUGGAUCGGGGUAGCUUGGCAAUAAUGCCCCUACUGCAAACUUGGCACCAACAUUGGCACCAUAUUGAGCCAUCUCACCCAUGAUCGCUGUGAUGUCAUGAGCCUGCUUCACCACCCAUUGGUUGUUGGCCACCUUGAAAUUGUGGUAUUGUUCAACCGCAGAUUUACCAUCCAGUGCCUCCUGUAGCUCCUUGGCACUUGUUAAGGUGUCGAAUACAAAAUAGAGUUUUAGAGCUAGUCAGAUAAAGAGCACCAAAAUGAUACCCAAGUCUAUAUUGUUUGCAGCCUCAAAAUCCACGUGCUGCUAAUGAGUAACCAGCCUCACCUGUGGUGUUUUUCAGACAACAUGUAGUGACAAGUCUUGGACUGCCAUGUUUUGGAGUUUACACCCGCAAACUUCUCCCAUUGGCAUUAGAUGGCUGACAGACUAUCAUGCAUAUGUUAAUGUAAAAUCAUGGUAUAACAUUUGGUAUUUAUAGGGAUCGAUGAGUUUGCAGAUUAUUUCCAACAGUUUUGACCUUAGAUGGCUUUCCAUUCUGUGAAACAUGAGCUCGAAAUUUUCAAAUGAAGCCAGAUCAUUUUACCAUGUACCGAAGUUCAUAGUAUUGUUACUGAUCUGAUGCUCUGUCCCUUAACUUGAAUUGGUGUAAACAUGUAAAGAAUUGAUUGAGCAAAUUUUUAACUAUAUCAAUGAAGUAAACGUAUUGCUUUGCUGACAGUGAGGUCUUAGAAUCAGAUGGUAGGCAAAUGGCCAAAUGUAUGCAUGCUGCUGAAAUUUUUGUUGUUUUGCAACUUCUGAAGUCCCUUAUGUACUUAGAUAUAUAGUGUCAAGUUAUCUGCUUGGGUUAUUUAUGUUACUUGUU